GCAUCGGUAACUCAGUGGUAGAGCGGUGCGGCUUUGACCCAUGCGGCCCGGGAUCGAGCCCUGGUCGAUGCA